GCCCGGGUGGCGAAAUUGGUAGACGCAAGGGACUUAAAAUCCCUCGGGAUAACUCCCGUGCCGGUUCGAGUCCGGCCUCGGGCACCA
rnacentral:tRNA from 1 species